rnacentral:misc_RNA from 1 species
CUGCAACUUGCUUCCAGGGAC